GGGGCUGUCCCGGUUUCGACGGAGCUUGAAGGGGUUCCCAAGGAGCAUGCGGAGGGGGUUGGAGCCCGCCUUAAAAAAUCCAGCAAACUGAUAAGUGCCAAACAAAGCGCACAGAUCAUCGCGUUCCCGAAGGCUCGUGCCUUCGCGCCCGCGGCGAUGGCUGCCUAACCUAGACCUCGGAUUGGUUUCCGACCUAGGCUAGAUGCCUCCGGCCCGCUUCCCUUAGCUGAGUGAGGUGGCGGUGCUCCGGGCUUACCUUCCGCCCAGCUAUGACCCUUGCCAUGAUGGCCGGUAAGGGCGAGACAUUCGUCAUCAACCGUGGGGUGCGGUGCGCUUGGCGCUAACCACGGCCUAACCAAGCGCUAAGCAUGUAGAGCCACACCUUGACGAGAUUCGGACGUGGGUUCGAUUCCCACCAGCUCCACCA
rnacentral:tmRNA from 1 species